rnacentral:lncRNA from 1 species
AACAUACAUUUAAAACAGCUCCAACAACUAUUGUUGGCAAGCUUCUUGAUCAACAAAAGAAAGCCCACUCCACCAUAUAGUUCAUGACAGCGAUGCACAAAAAAUACUUUGCCAACAACCAAACAUCUGAAAUAAAAAAAAAAGGCUAUGUUUCCCAGGCUCUAUGUUUCCGAGUCUCACAGGCUCUAACAAAGUCCAGAAUAUAUGAUGA